GGAGUUGUGGCUCAGUGGUAGAGUGCUCGCCUAGCAUGCAUGAGGCCCUGGGUUCAAUCCUCAGUACCA
rnacentral:tRNA from 1 species